ensembl:lncRNA
GAGGGAGCCCCUGCGCUCCGCGGCCGGGCGGAGAGCGAAGCCGGGCGCGUCCCGUCCCGCAGCCGGCUCCAGCCGCUCCGCAAGCCCCUGUGUACUCGCCGCUGCCCGCAAGCAGGAGGAGCAGAGGGAGGAGGAAGAGCAGCAGGAGGAGGAAGGCAGCCAGCAAAGCGAGCAGCCCGCAGCGGGGCACGCACGUGUGCGCGCAGCCUUUCGACGGCCGCCCUCCAGCAUGCUGCGCGGAGCUGCGCGGGGCAGCGCGGCGGAGAGGAGCUGACCGCGGGCGAAGAACGGAGCCGAGCAGAGCGGAGGAGCGGCUCCGCGGAAACCGCCGUGCAUCCGUCCCGUCCGGCCUCCCUCCGACACACACCCCUUCGAGGGAGCCGGCGGUCCCGCAGCAUGGGCGGCCGCAGCCCCCUCGCUGCCGCCGGCGCCGCUGUCCUGGUGCUGCUCCUGGGGCGCUUCGCUCUUUGCGUCGCCGUGGAGGAAAAGAAAGGUAAGGGAGGAAUAAGGGGCGGGGGGGAAUGAGGGGUCCUGCUGCCGCUUUGCCGGCUGCGACCCGAGGGACCGCGGAAGCCGUGGUGCGGGCGGCCUCCCGUGGGGAGCGGCGGAGGGAAAGUCCCAACUUCUUUCCUUAAUUAAAAAAGAGAGAGAGGAGACGGCGGAGGGAAUAGACCUAUAGCAGCGGUCACGCAGCUCCGACUUCCUGAUUCUAGGCUUAUUUUCUUUUGUGGGGGUGGAGGAAAUAAAAGGGAAUAAGUGUUGGCACAUCUCCUCGGUUGUGCUUCUCUCCUUUCGUGUUUCUUCCCCGCCACCUCCUCCUCCCCUGCCCAAGCGUUCCCCAGCCGGGCAGCGGGCUCAGCCCUGCCGUGGGGCUGUGGGCAGCGGGGCUGAGCUCCGAGUAAGCGCCGCUGCGGUAACCCCAGCCUGUGGCUCUGACCGGGACACCUCCGCUUGUCCUGUUGUAAGAAAAUAGAUAUAUAUACACCUGGGAAGGGAAAGAAGGGACGAUUCCCGCGGGUCCUGGCUCCCUAGUUAUUAAAGAGGAGCGUUUAUCCCUGUCUGACCCAGGCGAAGCAGCCGCCGGCGCUGUCCCCCCGGCACUGACCGCGGUGCGUGGGAACCGCCGGCUCCCGGGGUCUGGUGGGUUGGAGGGGUUCGGCGCCGGGUUGGGUGCUGGGGUUUUUGCUUUGAAAAAUUGGUUUAAAGAGUGAGAAAACGUUUCUGGCUGUUCAGAUCCGUCGCUUUUCCUCUGUGUGUGGUGGUCUCUUUUGUGAGUUUGGAGAGCAGGCCCCGGCUGCUGCUGUUCCAGGCUGAGUGCAGUCCUCUUUAUCUUGGAAAUCUGCCAGCCAGGAAAAAAUGCAGAUUUGGGUGGUUUGGGGUUUGUGUUUUUUUGGUUGGUUUUUCUUUUUUUCUUUCUCUCUUUUUAAAGAGAAAGCGGGAGAAGAGAGUUAAUAGUUUUUAGAAGGGCUGAUGCAUGGCUUAAAGUAACUGGGCUAGUCUUUUCGUGACUGUGGACAGUAAAACCGCCCUGAAAGGGAGGAACACCCCAUCCAAAAGAACUAGUUGCACAACCUUUAAAAAGUGGAGAGAUUCUCUUGUUCCAGAAAUCAAGUUCAUACCUGUUGUUAAUGUAACAUGGCCAGUUUUUCUUUCCCAGC